rnacentral:tRNA from 1 species
AUUAUUUAAAUAGCUUAAAAAUUAGAGUAUAAUAUUGAAGAUAUUAGGGUGAGUGAUAAAAUCUCUAAAUAAUA